CAUGCCGCGUGUGUGAAGAAGGCUUUCGGGUUGUAAAGCACUUUCAGUGAGGAAGAACGCCUCGCGGCCAAUACCCGCGAGGAAAGACAUCACUCACAGAAGAAGCACCGGCUAACUCCGUGCCAGCCACCUCGGUGACUGAGCGGGCUGGCAAGGCGCAUA
rnacentral:rRNA from 1 species